rnacentral:tRNA from 1 species
GGGGUUGUAGCUCAGUGGUAGAGCACUUGCCUAGUGUGUGUGAGGCAAUAGGUUCGAUUCUCAGCACCA